UGGUUCAAAUGAUAGAGCAUUUGACUAGCAAACAUAAGGCCCUGGGUUCAAAUCCCAG
rnacentral:tRNA from 1 species